rnacentral:rRNA from 1 species
UACGUAGGGUGCAAGCGUUUAAUCGGAAUUACUGGGCGUAAAGCGUGCGCAGGCGGCUUUGCAAGACAGAAUGUGAAAUCCCCGGGCUUAACCUGGGAACUGCAUUUGUGACUGCAUGGCUGGAGUGCGGCAGAGGGGAUGGAAUUCCGCGUGUAGCAGUGAAAUGCGUAGAUAUGCGGAGGAACACCGAUGGCGAAGGCAUCCCUGGGCCUGCACUGACGCUCAUGCACGAAAGCGUGGGGAGCAAACAGG